rnacentral:rRNA from 1 species
GACGAACGCUGGCGGCGUGCCUAAUACAUGCAAGUCGAACGCAGUGGGGACGGGUGAUUAACACGUGGGUAACCUCCCAUCAGAGGGGAUAACACUUGGAAACAGGUGCUAAACCGAUACUGAUGGAUGAACCCGCGGUGCAUUAGCUAGUUGGUGAGGUAAAGGCUCACCAAGUUCACGAUGCAUAGCCGGCCGGAGAGGGUGAUCGGCCACACUGGGACUGAGACACGGCCCAGACUCCUACGGGAGGCAGCAGUGGGGAAUCUUGGGCAAUGGACGAAAGUCUGACCGAGCAACGCCGCGUGAGUGAAGAAGGCUUUCGGAUCGUAAAACUCUGUUGUUAGAGAAGCGGUAUCUACCCAGAAAGCCACGGCUAACUCCGUGCCAGCCGCCGCGGUAAUUC